rnacentral:lncRNA from 1 species
UUUCCUCUGAUUCUUGCUUACUCCUUCUGGAGUCACAGCCAUGGAACAUGGGACUGAGGCAGAGAAUGGAAUAAACUUGAAAAAUGAGGAGGGGUGAAUCCAGUUGACUGCAGGGCUUCUGGCUUCCCGGCAGGGACAUUCAAGUUUGGAGCCAGAGCUGACUUGGGAUGACAGAACAGGCCUUCUCAGCUCUGCAGCAGGGAUGUCCGAUAGAGACCAGACAGCUCCUACAAGUUUGCUGAAAAGAUAACUGAAGGAAGAUGAGGUAUAUGAACUCAUGCAACUUGGACCAUGUACUCCCAGCAGGGGCUUCAAUCAGGGCUUCCAAGAGUGAUAGGAAGUGAUAUCUCAACUCUCCUUUCUCAGUUCUGGAGCCUGGGAGGUCCAAGUCAAGCCACUGGCAGAUUCUGUGUCUUAUGAGGUCCUGCCUUCUUGUUCAUAGACGGCAUCUUCCAGCUGUCCUCUCGCAUGGUGGGAGGGGAUAAUGAGCUAUUUUAUAAGGACACUAACCCCUUUCAAUAGGCCUCCAGCCUCAUAACCUAAUCACUUCCCAAAGGAUGCCCUUCCUAAUAUCAUUUUAGGAGUUACAAUUUCAACGUAUGAAUUUGGCAGGGGGGUGGGGUGGAAACAAGCUUUUAGAACAUAGCAGUUUGGAAUUUGCUUAAUAAUAUGGAAUUUGUUUAAUAAUAUAAAUAAGUAAUGCCAAUUUAGAUUAAUAAAAUGUCUUCACCUUUAAGUAACAGUUGUUCAAAUCAUACAAAUAAUUUUGUGUAUAAUUUUUCCAGGACCAUAUGAAUCCGCAGAAUGUAAGUCCUAAUGCCAUCAAUUAUAUCAAAAAGAAGGAUGUUGGAGAAAUCAAUGAAUAGUUUCUACUACUGACUUUCUCCCAAGACUCUGUUCCUGACCCUCUUUCUUUCCAGUACUUUCAGUCUUCCUCUAUCCUGAAUUCUAUACCUCAGUCUACACUUAUGUACAGAUCUUCAUAUCAAAAAAAAAACUGUCUUUUUGACCCUGUUUACCUUCUGAAGCUACCAUCUUGAAAACAGUGCUAUCUUGAAAAUUAUGAUAAUUAUACUCAUGUAUUUGAGCAGUGUUACACAGGUUUCAAAAGAUUUUCAUAUAAUUUAUCUUUCAUCCCAUGACAGCCUUAAGCAGUUUUGUUGGUAUUUUUGUUUUUCAAACGAGAAAGUGACACUCAGAGAUUAAUACUUCUUCAAUUUCCAAACACUAAAAGGCUUUUAAAAGAUCAAGUCAGAACUCAAAUAUGAACCCACAAAAAAUAAACUGAAUGAUUUUUGGGCGGGAGUCACCUUAAGAGAACAACAUGAACUAAGCUAAUACCAUUUUCAUACAGUCCAUAUUUCUUUUCUUGGACAAUAAGAGGGAUUUCUGAAAGACAGACUUUGCUAAGAUAGGCAAAGACCUUGCUGAAAUGCAGAAACAUUAUAAAGGCAUUUAUAAAAUUUAUCAACCUAGUGACACUAUCAAAACAUGAAAUAGGGUUUGGGACUUGUUGGUAAUCUCCUUAUGAUCACACUUUUCUUCCACGAUGUUUCUAAAAUAACUAUAUGCCUUCUAGAAUUUUUACCUGGUUUUAGUGUCAGGUUCACCUGUCUGUUGUUCAUGCAAUGCAUCCU